CUGUCUCUGUCUCUCUGUCUCUCUGUCUCUCUCUCUCUCUCUCUCUCUCUCUCUGUGUGUGUGUGUGUGUGUGUGUGUGUGUGUGUGUACAGAUAAAGAUGCCAAAGGAAACCAGAAGAGUGUGUUAGACCCCUGGAUCUGAAGUUACAGCAGUGAGAUAUCAGCAUGGGUCCUGGGGGCCAAACUCAGGCCUUCUACAAGAACAGUAUAUAUUCUUAACCCUGAGCCAUCUCUCCAGCCCAUCUUCGCAUUUUUUUUUUUGAGUCAGGGCCUCUCACUGAAUCCGAAACCCACUAAUCAGCUGACCAUUGGCUGACCGGUAAGCGCAGGGCAUCCUCCUGCCUCCAUGUCUCCACUCUGGGAUAACAGGCAUGAGGUGCUCUGCUCCUGACUCGGAUGGAUGCUGGCUUGCACAGCAAGCACUUUCGACUGAACCAUCCCCCCUCAGCCAGAAUCUGCCAUUUCUGAUACUGUCUGUGCAGUUGGGGUGGGCUGGGUCUCACCCCCUACCCAGCCUCCCACCCGUGGUGCUGACUGGAGUCAUUAACACUAAUGAUAGGAUCGGGGGCUGUGUUAUCACACACUCAGCCCUACUGGGGCUCAGGGCCCAGGAGGUGGGAAGGGGCUGGCAGGUAGCCCAGGGAGGGAGCUGAGAUGGGAAGUGGGGGUUGGGGGGAGGAAGGAGGAAGGCCCUGGGUCUGCUCAAGAUUCUUCUUAGAGGAACUUCUCCCAGCCCUCAGGGCUCAGAACAAAACCUAUGCCUCUGUGUCCCUUGUAGUAGCCACUGGGCACUCUGUAAAGCAUGCUUGAUGACAGAAGGGACCUCAUCCAGACUGGGAAAUCAGGAGACAGAGAAGUAACUAAUGCCUAGGACCCAAAGCCUAUAAGCUUAGUCCUGCUUUGCUCACGGAGAGAUAUUACUGUCACUUUGGGUCUCCCUCCACCUCUGUCCCCAAGGCCCAUGUUCCUACCAGUUGAGGUUAGAUGACCCUUCACUGUCAAGGGCGCCUCUAGAUGCUGCAUCUGCCCCAAGAGCGGGUCUCUCAGUCCAUAGUCCACAGCCCAGGCAGCCUUCACCCUUGUCCCUCUGACUCAGCAGAUGCUGCCUGUGGGCCUGUGGUGAGCACUGUCUUUGAGCUCAGCGACUCUUGGUGUCUCCCAGGGCCCCAGAGAUGCACCUAGCAAACCUGCGGUUUUCAGGAGACAAACCCCUCUGUGGCAGCCUCUUUAUUUCUCUACGUACCCAGACCUAAGGGUCUCACUGUGUAGCUCAGGUUGGCUACAUAGCCACCAAGCUCCUCCCAACUCAGCCUCCUGAGUGCUGAGAUUAAAGGCGUGUGCCAGCCUAGGACCUGUGCUCUCAGAUGUGAGUUUUGAAUGAAUUACUGUGUGAUGCCUCAUGUGUAACCCUUCUGGAGGUUGAGACAGGAGAAUUGCUAUGAGUUAAAAGGCCAGCCUAAGAUAUAGUGUGAGACCUUGUGCUUGGCCUCCUCAAUCCCCUACUUAAAAUGUCAGGCCUUCUCAAUCCCCUACUUAAAACAUGGGGCAUGGUGGCUGGGGAAGAGGAGGGGGAAACAAGAAUUUCAAGAUCUAGCCUGGGAUUGGGAGUGUGGCUCCAAGGCAGAGUGCUCACUGAGCCUGCACACAGCCUAGGGCCUGGCCCUUCAGAGACAGAGGCAAGAGGACCAUGGGAAGUAAGUUCAAAACCAGCCUGACCUAUCUAGGGAAACUAUUUGAAAGCAUACGAAUAACUCAGACUCCACCUCCUGGCCACCGCUGGAUCUGACGACAAAAUGCAAAGGAAUGUUCUGGGCUGGAGGCUUAGGCUCAGGCAGGAGGCUUGUGGUGGGGUGGGGCAGGUGAGCACCAGGUUGGUGGUGGGAGUGGAGUCUAAAAAACAGAGUGGUUGACUUCUGUGCCCUUGGAGGUAACCCAUGCCAGCUAUCCAAAGGGGAAGGUUCUUUGUGCUGAACUCAUCCUGUACCAAGCUGAUGGCCCCUUGUGUGAGUUCAGUAUGGGGAGGAGACUGGAUAUGGGAGUGGGCAGGGCCCGGGGAUCCUCCCAGGAAUCUCUAAGCCUUCUGGAGAAGUAGGCCGGAUUUGGCCCUGCCAAUGCAGUAGCCCCAAACUGGGGCAGAAUCAAGGAAUCUGGGUCAAGGACCUGGCUGGUCCCUGGGGGUAACACCACGUGUUCUGGCAUCUUCCCUCCAACUGUACCUGGGGGGAGAGAGUUGGGCAGGCCAGAGGUCCACCAGUGCCAGUCUGUCCUGAGCCUCGCAGUCCUUUACUGGAGUCUGGCUAAAGAGCAAAGAGCAGAGCUGGGGUGCGUGCCCUGCAUCCUCCAUCCUAGGGUUCACGUCUUCUGUGUGUUGAAGCUGCAGGGCCAAGACCCUGGAGCACCCCGAGGUGUCAUGAUGUGACCCUUACAGCACACACCACAUGCUGAGAAGAAAAGAGGUAGCCGAGAGUGAGCCAGGUCUUUAGGAGCCAUAUCAAUGACCACCUGGUUGGCCUCCCCAGUCCCUCAGGCUUCUGUUCAUAGCCACCCCACGAAGAAAAUGUGGUGCUGUCCCACGCUAGGACAUCCACUCCUGGGCUCUUCUGCUCACAGGUUGCCCUGGAGGCAGGAUUCGGUCAACUUUCAUGCCAUCCCCCUGCUUCUGCUCAGGACCUCAGACACAUCUUUCAUCCAGAGCCUAGGAGAGCCACCCAGAGCACGGGAGCUGUGGCAGAGUCUAUGCUGGUCAGGGUGUCCGACCCACUGAACAGAACAUGGGUCUGACCAGCUUGGAGAAAGUGAGGGGGAGAGUUCCUAUAUCCAGUGCCCAUGCUACCCAGCUGCUGCUUCUCUCCUCUCUGGUCUCAGCAAGCACUGUGCCCACUUCUGCACCUUUGACACAGGGCACUGUCCCCUAUUCCUGCUACCAUACCCGUCUUCCCCCCAACAUUCCCUGAACAUAGAAAUGUUGGUGAGGGCAGUCACGGAAGGGCCUAUGGCAUCCUUACCUGUCACUCCCAGCCCCACAUCCUUCCCUGUCUGAGGCUACGUGUCUCAUGCACAGGUGUCUGUGACUUCUUAAUCUCGACAAAGUGCUAACUACUUGGUCAGAGACCUGGGAUGGCACUCUGACGAACUUGAGUCUAAGAGUGGCUGGCAGAAGAGUCCCAGGCCAUGGCACCAGUGCAGGAGAAGCCCUGAAGCCAGCAUUGUGUUCAGUGUAGAGAGGUACUCCAGCUUCAUGAGAGAUCAGAUAAGUGGGUGGAGGUGAGCUCCCUAGCACCGGGUGUGUGCAAAUGUUGGCUGGAGGUUGCACUGAGUUGGGUUCAGGGCCCCUUGUGGCUCCAUGAUCCAGGAACUGUGGGCUCCUGCCUUAGAGGGUCAAAUAACAUUUUCCCAGGGGAAAAUUCAUGGAAGACCAUGGUGCCAGACUCCGGCUAGGCCCAGCAGCUGCUCGUUUUACCACAGCAGCCAGGGGAAUGAUGUUAAAUGCACAUGUGCUUUUGCUGCAAGAAAUGUGGGCUACUGUGGCCAUGGUUUGCAAGUGAUCACCGUGGUAGCCAGCCAGCCUCAGGUAGCCUAUGAGUGUCCUUACGAGGGUAACAGUGCUGGAUCUUGAGUCCUGGCUGUGUCCAGUCUAGGAAGGCCCUUUGGAAUAAUGGGCCUAGAAACAAUGAGGAUUGGCCCAGGAGAGAGACAGUGGAGAUGGGAGGCAGGGUCAGCUAGGGACGGAGGGAGCUUUCUUACAGGCCCCUGUCAGGACUGCUGAGGGGGGCUGGCACAGGGAGUUGUACUGAGUAAGGGCUAUGUGUAUGCACAUGUGUGUGCAUACCUGUGUUUACAUAUGUAUGUGCAUGUAUGUGGUUGUGUAUGGUAUGUGGUAUAGAUACACAUAUAUGUAUGUGCUGUGGUUGUGGAUGGGUGUACAUGGAUGUGUUCACGUGUGAGCGUGUGUGACACCUGUGCCAUUGUGUGAAUAAGCAGGUAUGCAUGUUUGUGUGCAUAUGUGUGUAUGCAUAUGUGUGCAUAUCAUGUGCAUGUGUGGUUGAGUGCAUGAGUGUGCAUACAUGUAUGUAAGUGUAUAUAGUUGUAUGUGGUUGUGUGAGAGCGUGUGUAUACAUUGCAUAUGGAUGCAUGGUGUAUACAUUUGUAGCUGUGUGAGUGUACAGUGUGCUUGUGCGCAUCACACGGCUGCAGUUGCCUUACCUACCUGUUCUGCUGUCCAAGCAAGAGAUGCCUGCUGCCUAUCACCAGGACUGGGGGCAGAGGAGCCUUUAUUUCCCAGGCCUUCCACGGUGAUUAAGUCUCCAAACUUUUCCUUAACCGUCAUAUCUUCAAAAUGAAAAACCAAAUUGCAUCUCCGAGAGCUUGGAAAUCGAUUUCUUUCAAAAUGAACUUUGGGUGAAGCGAUUCCAAAGAGAAAUGAGAGGAAGAAGGUAGGAGGGGGAAUGGGGAAGGGACAGAAGGCUUGGUUGGGGGCGGCCAGGGCAGGGCAGGUACUGUUUUUUCCUGGAAGGUGGGGGAGGCAUCAGGAGCGCUCUCUGGAAGAGGCACAGUGACCGUGUAGCCACAGUGGGUGCAGAGGUGAUGGGGGACUCUGGGAGACAAGGGGUGUUAGAAGUGAGCUCUCAGGAGGACUUCCCAGCAUCCUGUGUGUCUUCCUCUCCUUCCUGUGUGCUUUCAACAACAUUUCCAUGUUCCUGAAGAGUGCGUGUGUGGGGUGCUGUGGAGGGGGUUGGCUUGGUCACUGCUGUAUUGAUGUAUUGUAGGAGUUGAACACUCUCAGCCUGGUCAGGCGGGAGGUCCACACUGCUGGCCCCUCCCUCACUGCUCAACAGUGGUGCUGCUGCUGCUGCUGCUGCUGCUGCUGUUGGACAGCCCUAGGAAUAGGUUGGAGAGAAAAAAAAAAGGCCAGGGCAGGUUGGGGUCUAGGACAGCUGGAAGUGGGGUACCUGGGCCGGAAAGAGUGACCCUGGGGGGCUGUGGCUGGCAGCUUUUGAGCCAGGGGGAGCAAUUGUGGAGGCCUCUAGUGUUCCCUGCCUGGCUCAGCUCUGGCUGGCAGCCGUGGGUGUUGAAUACUGCUCAGCUGAGCGUCGAGCACUUGGGAGGGAGCAAGACAGCUAGACGCGUGUGCAGUGCAGUGGCGGUGGCAGGGGUGGCAGCAGGAGGUGGCAGGGGAAGUUGGCCAAGGUGGAGACAGAUGUGGAUGCUUCGGAAACAGGACCUUAGGGGCCCGGCUGAAAGAGGCAGAACAGAACAUUGGAGGUGGCCUGGAAUGGGGAUGGGAAGCCUGCCUUUUCUCUCACAGCAUACUAGGCAAUGAGGAAGCAGGAAAUGAGCUCACCCUGUGAGGAACUGUGGGGAACUGGGGCUCAGGGGAGCAGACUGCCCAGUACUUAGCAGGUCAGAGCUGGGAUUCUAGAGCCAAGCAUCGGGAGAAGGCAGCAUAAGGUGUGACAGACUCUUAGGACUGGGGACUCCCCCAUCCUCUCCACCCCCAGGGAAUCACUGGACAGGAAGGGAGGACACCAGAGGGGCAGCAGAACAAGCUUAGUCUCUAUUGCUCUGUGGCCUCAAGUCCCUGCUCUUGGUGGAUUCAGUCUACUUGUCUGUGAAAUGGGCACAGUCUUGGGCUAUCUGUCACUGCUUUAAGCUUCUGUGACGAGCCCUGAGAUUGCAGCACUAAUAGAAAAUGGAGCCCAUUACCUAGACACUGCCUCCUAACUGUGGGACCUCUAGUUACUCUCAGGGAGUCAGUCUCCCUCCUACAUGGGAACCCCAGAUCUCUCUGGGAUGUGCUGGCACAGGCUAGCUGGGUACUGUGCCUCCCUCCUUCCCACCUCCCUGUCUUUGUGUCUUCCCAUCUCUCUAUCUUCCAUCCCCCACCCCUGGCUCACAGAACCCUGGAGGGCUGCUCCAAUGAGAGGUUCAUUUUCCUUUCCUUGAGCAGGUGACAGACCCAGCUGCCAAUAAUCUCCUGUGACAAAUCAACACUGAAGUCCAGUGGCUCCCUGGCCCUGGAGGCGUCCAAGUAGAUCGAAGUGGAAAAAAACCCAGUGGCUCUGGGAAUGGGGACUGGAGGGACUGUCACAGUCAACAGAUGUAUGGGGGGGUUCACCCUCUUUAUCACCAGCUAGCUACCUGGAAAGCACCUCCUUCCUCAUCCUUCAGGAUGCUUUGAGGGUGUAGGAUGACAGGCCUGGCUGCAGUGCCUGGAAAAAACGCUGGGGAGGGAAGGGAUCCUCGGCUGGACAGCAGGGAGCCACGGAAGGGUUUGAGCUGAGGAUGGAUGGGCGAGAAUAAGUUUUUCUCCUUGUCUCUCUGCCUCCUUAGCAUGGGGCUCUCAGCAGGUUGGGCCAGCCUCUGGGGACCCAAGUCCUCACCCUAUCAUGAGUGAGAAGUGUGAAGAGUGCUGGAGGUGAGACCUUUGGAUAGGCUAUCUCGUAGGUAAAUGGUAGGGCCUAGGCCUGGCACAAACUCAGGCCUAGAGGGAGGGGGUGGGCGGAUGUUUUCCAGAUUUUUGUGCCUCUUCCUUAUUCUGAGGGAAUGGCUCUGUCUUCACUAACACAUUUUUCAGAUGGGGAAAGGCAGGGUUCAGAGUAGCAGAGGACUGAAGGCUAUCAAAGAAAUGCGCUCCCCUGGCCUCUGCAUCAGCGCUGGGCGCCGCCGCCGUGCAGAGCUCAGCUCAGCAAAGGGAGAGGGAUGGUUGCUUGAUGUUUUCCUGCCUAAAUAGCCCAGGAUCAUCUCCUGAUUGGGUUAUCCUUAGCAAAACUAUCAGAGACAGAAUCAUCCACAUUGGAAAUAUAACUCAGAGCGAGAAGUUGACUUGGCCAUGGACCUAGCUGGAGUCAGUGGCAAACCUUUGGAUCUUUUCAUUUAGUUGGGUCCCAUGGACGCAGGCUAUGCGUAUAUAGGACAAAGAGAGCCUCCUGGUGCUGAAGUCUCCCUGGCUCUGGGCGUUCAUGGCACUAUCCAGGAUGGGCAGAGAUGGAAACCCGGUACCAUGACAACCUGCCACUGUCCUGGACAGCAAUACAAUAUGGAUGUCACAGGGCAGGAGGGGCCGAAUCCCCUUAGGCUUUUAGGGAUCUCCAAGCUCAAACUGAGCAGCCAGAGCAUCUGUAGAGAACCCAGACCUUCAAGGCCUCAGUUUCCAGCCUCUCUCCACAGUCAUAUGAACCCCAGUGCCCUGCUUCCACCACUGGCGCUGUGACCCCCAGCUUCACUGGGGGUCUCUCCCUGACAUCCUCUUCUCUCUGGCUCUCUUCAUGUGUCUGUCUCUUGCUUUCUCCCUCUCCCAAUGGACUAGCUUCCCGCUGAUGUAUCCUCCAGCCUAGUGACUGUGGCCAUGUCCCCUUGCCAUAACUCAGGUUCACACCUAUGGUUCUGGCCCUCAGGGUCUUGCAUACCUGCUGACAACCAUUUGAGCACAUGGCCUCCUUGAGGACAGUCUCCUGAGGGAGGGGAGGAGCUUUGUAGGUUGACCGCAAGAUGGAGUGUGGGGAGGAAGAGAAGGGGCAAGGACUUCCAACACCUCUCUGGAAUCACACUGGGUCCAGGCUCUCAACUCAGUGUCCCACUUGUACCCAAACAGAAAGGAAGGCCAAGGUUGACCUUUGCACUCCAACCAACCCUCAAGCCCCGCCUAUUCUUCUCUAAUGUGGCAAGUGACCAGCCAACCCUCAGCAAUGAGUGAAAAUGUCUUUUAGACAUGUAAAAAGAGCUUUGUCAGGAUCCCCACAGCACCCAAAGCUGUAUCUGAUAACCAGAACUCAGUGACAUCACUCAGGAUAACCAGACAUGGUCCUAGAACCCCAGGACACCUACUGGAUAGUAUCUCAGCAGAGAUCAAGAGCAAGGCUCGGCUCUGCACCUCUGAAGAGAUGAGACCUUCCUUGACCAGCCCUGGGGCUGGAGCGUCUCCUCGAGGAUCCUGGCCCUUGCAUCAGAGUCAUCUGUCAGAGACUGGACCUGGCCUUCAGCGAGGAUCUGUCACAGGAAUGUGUGUCUGUCCAGUCACAAGCAGGUCCUGCCAUAAGCUUGAUGACACCUCUGCAGAUCUGUUCCUUCAGUGGGGACUGACGGAAGACCAAGCCUGGCUGUGCCCAGGAACAGCACCAGACAGGGAUGCCAAGCUGCAAUGGAGAGCAGCUCAACGGAGCUGUUCUUUCUGGGAAUCUACACAGCCCAGGAAGGAGCAGCAUGUGACAUCGAACCAGGAAACGGAAGCCCCUGGAUGAAGCUGCAGGACCUAAUGAUACACAGGACGAGGAGAGGUCGCAGACAGAACAGCAGCCUUUCUGUAGUCUAAGGCCACGGGACCUUGGGGAACAGUUGGUGGGAGCUGCCGCAGACUCAGUCAGAGCCUUAUCUGGAACUAACACGUGGGAGAGUCCCAGCUUUCCUCAAGAGUGUGUUCCAGGGUCUCCUGCUUGUCUAUCCCACCAACCCUACAGGAAAACGGUCACUGUGCCUGAAGAAAACCAUGGCUGGCAGUCUCAAGCUGCCAGGGACAGCACGAGGGCUGUCCUCUGCUGUGUGCUACUGACCACUCCAAGUGUGGCCUUGUCCUUGGAUGGCCCCUUCAGCCUGAGGCUUGACCACCUACUCUCCAGGAGUCUCUCUGGUCUCCAGGUUCCAGCUGGGAGCCAAACUGGGGUUGCAGAUUACACAGUCUCUUUGAAAGGCCUUGGCGCUAAGCCCCAGCCGAGACAAGAGAGCAGGGAUGGGUGAGGCUGGACCUUCAGGAACCACCUAAGCCCCAGAAGCUGAGAAAGCAGCAGGCAGGUUUUAAGAGGUCUUGUGGGUACAGAAUCUUGGAGCUGGAAUUGUGCACAGUAGAAGGAUGUGUCCACCAGGGCCGGGUGACAGGCCUGAGUAUCAACCUAAACUUGGGACUUGAGACUUAAGGAUUUAAGAGAUUAAAAAAAUAUAUUUAAGUGUGUG